rnacentral:rRNA from 1 species
GGAGUACGGCCGCAAGGUUAAAACUCAAAUGAAUUGACGGGGGCCCGCACAAGCGGUGGAGCAUGUGGUUUAAUUCGAUGCAACGCGAAGAACCUUACCUGGUCUUGACAUCCACAGAACUUUCCAGAGAUGGAUUGGUGCCUUCGGGAACUGUGAGACAGGUGCUGCAUGGCUGUCGUCAGCUCGUGUUGUGAAAUGUUGGGUUAAGUCCCGCAACGAGCGCAACCCUUAUCCUUUGUUGCCAGCGGUCCGGCCGGGAACUCAAAG